AUAAUUUACAGUUGGGCUUUUGUUACAGCAGGAGCUAAUGAGAGCUGGAAUGUAGCCAAGUCUGUCUUGUAAGAGACUGUAAUUGUGACAACUUGUCAGCUCCCCUUGCCUCACAAGGAAGGUCUGUGUGCAUUCAAAUGGCAUUUGGAGUCUGAACCAAUAAGAACAGUGUUCUCAAUUCCACCAAUGGAAAGCAAACGCUGAGGAAAGCUUUGAGAUCUCCUUCAUAGCUGCUGACUCAUUUCUCCCUCCAAACUUAACGGGUGCUGCCGCAGAAACCACAGAAUAGUGUGGAUGACAAGAAAAAUAUAAUUUAUCCUAAGCACUGAAUACAAUACAAAAAAGAGAAAAGCAUCCUUGGAUGCCACCGGAAUACAUCCUGUCUUACUGGCAAUCACAUGUCAACUCCAGAGCAGAGAGCAGAAUGAAGAGGAAGAGGAAGAGAAAAACUUCCUACUUGUCCCUGCUUAGAUUCUGAGUCUGCCUGCUGUGUCACUUCCUGCCUGGAUCAGAAGACUUUACUAUGUUUUCCAGAAUACUCUUUGAAUCCCAGUCCCACCUAACUUGCUACCUCAUUGGCUGAACAGUGCCUUAUUCAACAACCAAUAAGAUAAACAUACAGUGACAUGUAAAAAAAUCUUGUUUCUAAUUCAAAUAAAAAAUUGGAAAAAAGAUAAACAUACACAGAAGGAUGUCCCCCAUCACAUAUGAGAAACAAAAUCAAUUUUUACAUAUAACUUAGUGCUACUUCUUGUGAAUUUGUUACUGAAAAAUUGCACAUAGUAGACAUAAAACAAUGAGCAAUGGAAUAUUUUACUUUAUAGGUUAUUUUAUUUAUCUCAUGAAUAUAAUUAUACUCACAGUGUUUUACUCUUUCUAUAUGAGUUUCUCUAUUUCAUGUCACAGAAUGGGAUCAGCAGCAUGAGUAAUAGAGGGGACCUGCAGAUGUCUUGUGAAAACAAAAAGGUUUUGAUAUUAAAGUUGGAGAACAUAAAAUCUAAAUUUUAUAUGCAGAAAUAUUGAGUUCAAACUUCAUAUUUCAGUUUCAUGUAUAUGACUGAACAUUGUUUCAUCAAUAAAGCUAAACACAGUAUCUUAAUUUGCACAAAAUUUUGCAGUUACUUCAGUGACACAUUCUAGGUUACAGUCACCUACAUAAAAAUAUCUAGUAUAAAAUAAGUUAUAGUCACAUCUACAAUUCUCUUGUCAAUGAGUAACAAAAUUAAUUGGUUAAUAUGUUUUGACAAUCUCAUGGCUCAUUCUAAUAUUUGUCCCCUAUAUUUACACAGUUUUUUAUGUAUGACUAUCCUACCAUAUGGAAUUAAGCAUGGACCCUCCUGGUUCAACUUCCAUGAUCAUGUGGUUAUCUUCACAUAUUAAUUAUGGAAGUAGCAGGAUGAGAAAUAAAAUGGGUCAUCAAAGGAUUUUUAAGGAACAGUUUUUUGACUAACCAAACAAGUGAAGACAUGUAUAGCAAGAACUUUCAGUCUUUAAAGGAAGAAAUUAAAGAAGACAUCAGAAAAUGAAAAGGUCUCACAUGAUCUUCAAUAGGUAGGAUCAAGAUAGUAAAAAUGGCAACCUUGCCAAAAGCUAUCUACAGAUUCAAUGCAACUCACAUCAAAAUGCCAACACAAUUCUUCACAGACCUUGACAAACCAAUAGUCAACAUUUUAUGGAGAAACAAAAGACCCAGGAUAGCAAAAAAAAAAAAAAAACCCUGUAUAAGAAAGGAACUUCCUGAGGCAUCGCCAUUCCUGAAUUCCUGACUUCAAGCUCUAUUAUAAAGCUAUUGUCCUGAAAAUAGCUUGGUAUUGGCACAUAAAUAGGCAGCAAACCAAUGGAAUUGAACUGAAAACCCUGAGAUGGACCCACACAACUACCAACACCUGAUUUACACAAAGGAAAAAAGAAAGCAUCUUCAACAAAUGUUGCUGGCAUAACUGAAUGCUGGCAUGUAGAAGACUGAAGAUAGAUACAUGUCUAUCACCAUGCACACAACAUAAGCUCAAAUGGAUCGGAGACCUCAAAACAAAUCCAGCCACAAUGAACUUAUUAGAAGAUAAAUUGGGUAGUACUCUUGAAAUAAUUGGUAUACAAGACUGGUCCCUGAACUUUAUACCACUAUACAAGAAGGACAUCUGUUCAACUAUGCUCACAGCAGCCUUAUUUGUAAUAGCCAGAACCUGGAGGCAACCUAAAUGCCUCUCAACUGAAUAAUAGACAGAGAAAAUGCAGUACAUUUACACAAGGUAGUACUACUCAGUUGGAUAAAAGAAUUGAAACUUGAAAUUCACAGGCCAAUUGCUGGAACUAGAAGAAACCAUUCUGAGCAAGGUGACCCAGUCACAAAAAGACAAACAUGAUCUGUGGGCUCAAGUAUCCGGUUUGUGCAAUCCUGAUAUGCAUGUACUGUUGGGAAUUUAUCCCAUGUUUUGACACUCCCAGAACACAGAUUGCUGUUUUUUAGACAGUAAUGGAGUGCAUGGAAUUAAGCCAAGGUUUUGUAGACAUUGUCAAGAUGAAUCCUGC
ensembl:lncRNA